rnacentral:rRNA from 1 species
GGUGGGGAUGACGUCAAAUCAUCAUGCCCCUUAUGUUCUGGGCUACACACGUGCUACAAUGGCCGGUACAGACGGAGGCGAAGCCGCGAGGCGGAGCAAAUCCGAAAAAGCCGGUCUCAGUUCGGAUUGCAGGCUGCAAUUCGCCUGCAUGAAGUCGGAAUCGCUAGUAAUCGCAGGUCAGCAUACUGCGGUGAAUACGUUCCCGGGCCUU